rnacentral:lncRNA from 1 species
CCCAAUAAUAUUAACCUUCUUAAUUGCUUGGUGGACAAGGUUAGUGUCACAAUCCAAUUUACGAGUCAUGGUGGCACCUACUUUAUCCUGCUAGCAGGUAAGCCAAACUAUAUCUCGGAGCUAUACACAAUGGGUAACUUAGUGGAAAAUGGCCUAAAAGCUGGAAAUAAAUAACUAAAGACUUAAAUUAGCAAUCUAAUAGAUACAUAAAAGGUCAAUAAUCAUCCCAAGACUCAGUAAUGUCGAUACAAGAGCUACUACAAAUGAA